CCAUGGCGGACGGGUGAGUAACGCGUAAGAACUUGCCCUUUAGACUGGGAUAACAGAGGGAAACUUCUGAUAAUACUGGAUAAGUUAGUAUAUCGCAUGAUAUGCAAAUGAAAGCUACGGCACUAAAGGAGAGCUUUGCGUCCUAUUAGCUAGUUGGUAAGGUAAGAGCUUACCAAGGCGAUGAUAGGUAGCCGGCCUGAGAGGGUGGACGGCCACAAGGGGACUGAGAUACGGCCCUUACUCCUACGGGAGGCAGCAGG
rnacentral:rRNA from 1 species